rnacentral:lncRNA from 1 species
AUGUGUGUGUUAUUAAAAAAAAAUAAUCUUGUUUUUGUUCCUUGUGCAGGUGAACAGGGCAAGAAAUGGAAAGCACAUCCAAUCCAGAGGCAAUUUGGCAAUUCUGUGUCAGCGGAAAUAGUCCAGGUCCGUAUUCUUGGAACUACUGCUCUGGGAGCUAUUGAAAUACAUGGAAAUAACAAGCAAGUGCAACAUCGAUGUAACUCAGGGGGACAGGAAAUUUCAAACAUAUAUGCAAGCAGAUCACAUAAUGAACUCACAUAUCUUCAUCACCGGGCUUCAACAAUAAUCAACCUGUGAGCAAUUUUGCUUCAUCUGUUACCCACUCCCUUUCCAGUGGAUUAUUUUGGAGAAAACCCAAACUAUCAUAACAUUUAAUCUACAUUGUCACACCAAAAAGUUCAAAAUAAUUCCUUAAUUAUCAUCAAAUGUUCUAUCAGUGUCCACGUUAUAAUUUGUUGUUGUUUUUUGUUUAUUGGUUGGUUUGCUUUUUCAGUUGGUUUGCUUGAAUCAAGACCUGAAUAUGGUUUAUAUGCUCUCUAAGUCUCUCUUAACUCCUUUCUUUUUUAUGUUGCAAUUUGUUGUUGUUGUGUGAAAGAAUAAAGUUAUAUGGUAUUAUUUACCAUGUUUCUCUUUCCCCUGAAAUUCUUGUAAAUUGUUAUAUCUUAGAGUCUUGAUCAAAAUUUAGGUUUGAUUUUUUUUGUCAGACUAUUUUGUAGAAAAUGUAGUCUUCCUUCAUGAGGUAUAAAAUGUCUGUAUUUUUGUGAUGUUUUGUGAUUACUGUGUAAGUACACUAAUUCUAUAAGAGUUCC